CGACCGGCGCACGGGUGAGUAACACGUAUCCAACCUGCCGUCUACUCUUGGACAGCCUUCUGAAAGGAAGAUUAAUACAAGAUGGCAUCAUGAGUCCGCAUGUUCACAUGAUUAAAGGUAUUCCGGUAGACGAUGGGGAUGCGUUCCAUUAGAUAGUAGGCGGGGUAGCGGCCCACCUAGUCUUCGAUGGGUAGGGGUUCUGAGAGGAAGGUCCCCCACAUUGGAACUGAGACACGGUCCAAACUCCUACGGGAGGCAGCAUG
rnacentral:rRNA from 1 species